rnacentral:rRNA from 1 species
AGCGCUGGGUAGCCAAGCAGGGAAGGGAUAACCGCUGAAAGCAUCUAAGCGGGAAGCCCGCCUCAAGACGAGACAUCCCACGGGGCUCGACCCCGCCGAAGGCCCCCGGGACAAUACCGGGUCGAUAGGCUGCAGGCGCAGGCGCGGCGACGCGCACAACCGAGCAGUACUAAUAGGCCGCGAGGCUUGGCCAU